GACGAACGCUGGCGGCGUGCCUAACACAUGCAAGUCGAGCGGGGGGAGUACUUCGGUACAAACCUAGCGGCGGACGGGUGAGUAACACGUGGGUAACCUCCCUCAAAGUGGGGGAUAGCCUUCCGAAAGGAAGAUUAAUACCGCAUAACCCAUAGCUUCCGCAUGGAAGCAAUGGUAAAGAUUUAUCGCUUUGAGAUGGACCCGCGGCGCAUUAGCUAGUUGGUGAGGUAACGGCUCACCAAGGCCACGAUGCGUAGCCGACCUGAGAGGGUGAUCGGCCACAUUGGAACUGAGACACGGUCCAGACUCCUACGGGAGGCAGCAGUGGGGAAUAUUGCACAAUGGGCGAAAGCCUGAUGCAGCGACGCCGCGUGAGUGAUGAAGGCCUUCGGGUUGUAAAGCUCUGUCUUUUGGGACGAUAAUGACGGUACCAAAGGAGGAAGCCACGGCUAACUACGUGCCAGCAGCCGCUGUAAUAC
rnacentral:rRNA from 1 species